CGCAAUCAGGAGCUCGGAAGCCCUGGCGAAAUCAAGCAGUGACGUGCCUCCUCCGUUCCUAACCCCAAAGCCGAAGCCACCAUGCACCUCACCAUAACCACUAGCAUCAGCCCUAAUAUGACCAUUAAAGUCCCCUCCAAUGACUAACUUCUCAGAAUGGGGAAUACUACUCACCAGAUCGUCCAAGCCCUCCCAAAAGUGCCUUUUAACCUCCUCGUCUAAGCCCGCGUGCGGGGCAUAAGCGCUGAUGACGUUGAGUACGCAACCCCCAAUAACCAACUUAAUAGACAUUAACCUAUCGUUCACUCGCCUAACCUCAACCACGGACUCCCUUAGAUCCCUAUCUACCAAGAUGCCCACUCUAUUCUUACCUCUCACGACCCCAGAAUACCACAGCUUAAACCCGUCUGUAUUCCUCGCCUUCGACCCUUUCCACCUAGUCUCCUGGACACAGGUUAUGUUAACAUAUGAAUAUGUCGCGACCCCAGAAUACCACAACUUAAACCCGUCUACAUUCCUUGCCUUCGAUCCUUUCCACCUAGUCUCCUGGACACAGGUUAUGUUAACCCUCCUCUUCUGAAGAACCUUCGCCAACUCAAUGUAAUUACCCGUCAGAGUGCCUAUGUUCCACGACCCAAUCCUUAAUCUAUGAGCGUCCGCUACCAUCUUCCAACCCUUACCUCCCGCCCUACCCGCAGGACCACUCCCUGCCCCCCUACUCACCCAAUACGCAAAAGGAUGCAAACUAGAUAGCAACAGAAUAAAUCUCACACGGAGUGCUAGCAAGAAUACGUAAAAAGGUGUACAGAGUAAGCAAGAGAGCGGAGGUACCAACUCCUGGUGGAAAAACCUGAAAGUAGCCUUUGAUGUGCCCGAAGGUCAACUGCUACCAACUCUUGCACGUCCCGGCCGGUGUUGCUUAGCUCUUCC
rnacentral:lncRNA from 1 species